UAAACGGCUACGGGAAGGUGGAAAAUGCUAGGAAGUAACGGGCGUACAAGGUUUACCGGAGAUCGGGGUGAUAUAGAUUGUUAGGUCCGCAGUUUGCCACUUUGUAAUGUUCCUCCCUACAUAGCGCUGUCAUGCCAUGUGUCAUGUGUGCCUUGCUCUCAGCAGGGAAGUUGAGUUGUUGUAUGUUGUGUAGCAGAACGAUGCUUUCUGCCUGUGAAUGUAAAACAUAAGAUUGCCUAUGUGUCACGACUCAAAUGGUAUUGUCAUCUACUCAUCUCUAUUAUGGCAAUGGCACUUUUUGCUUGCUUGCUCGUGCAAUACAUCAAUUAGAUCUACGAGUAGCAUUCUAGCUGGUGGAUAACUGAUGUAGGGCUGAUAUGACAUUGGUGUGAGAUGUCCAAGCAAAGAGUAGCUGGCAGACUUCCAACCUCUUUUCUGACCUGAAGUAUAUAUCAAAUCAAAUUAAAUUCUUAUAGCGGUGCCAACAUAACAUGCCAACCAAAGGGAAAGUAAGUGAAGGUCUCUCGGGCUUUGCCCCCGCGUCGCUCCGGCCCCAGGGGCGGCACGGGCGGCGACCCUAGCCACCGAGGCGCUCGGCCCCUUGAUCCCCUCCGCCCCCUCGCCGUCGCCGGUGCCUCCCGCGGGCAAAGCUCGUGCGGAGUGGGCGGUGGCGGGGUCUCCUCUCGCGCUGGCGGGCGCUGCAGGAUGGGGAUCUCGUGGCGUUGGGCAGCGGCUGGCGUCGGCGAGCAGCCUUGUGCCCUGGCGUGGAGGCGGUGGUCCUGCUGCGGCUUGGCGACCUGCAGUGGUUCGGCGGCUCGGCGGUGGCAGCGGGGCUCGGGCGGCUCGAUGGGGCGGCGGGCCCCGAUCUGACGGAGUGGAUCCGGAUGGUGGAGGUGCUCUGGCGGCUCUUGGCAGCAUGGAUCCGGCGGUUGGGGCUGCGGCCGGAGGCUCCUGGCUCUUCGGCGGCGCCGCCCCUGCUGCUAUUGUGGCUGUGGCAGAUGUGCUUGGGUUUCGGCCUGGCAACUCUGCUCGGUGAGAUGGGGUGGGGUGGCGGGCCCCCUCCUUGCCUGGUGCUGCGGUGCUGGACGGCUUGCUAGCCCGGCGUGGCUGGCGGCAUGGUGGAGGCUGCCGGGGCGGCGGCCCCGGAUUUGGUGGAAGCGGCUUCGGCUGGGGGGUGGUGCGCGCGUCUGGGCGUGGUGGGUCGUGGGAUCCCACGACCAGUGCGAGGUUGGCCUUGGCAGGAUGGGGUUUGUUGGUUGCGUUGAUGCGGACAAGUGGUGGUUGAGCAUCUCCGAGAGAAAUCCUGUGUCCGGCCUUUGCCGGAUCGGGCGACGGCGACGUCCGUGGGCGUCGUGCUCUUUCUUGGAAGUGUUGCUAUUGUGUGGUGCUCCUCCUCCCUCCCCGCGGCCUUGACUUCGGAGAGAAACCUCAGGUCUUCAGGAUCGGGCGAUGAAGGCGCCUUCACGUCUUCUUCCUCCUUGGGGGCAUCGUCUCGGAGCCGGCCACAACCUGAAGACCAGUGGAUGGCGGCAUCUUCGCCGCGUGGUUUGCGGCAUCUUCGCCGCGUAGUUUGCUGAGGCGGCCAUUUCGGGGGCGUGGAUUUCUGUUUGGCAACGAUGAUGGCUUCGAGAGGAGCUUUGGUCGCGGCUCGGGCUUUGGUAGUCGGAUCUUCCCGGCGUGUCCGAGGUGCUCUUCCGCUGGUUGCUUGGUUGCUUUGAAGUCGGAGCUGCGGUGGAGUGUGUCCAGGCGGUGACGAUGACAGGCGCUCGGUGGUCGGUUUCGGAGGGCACGGACGGCGCAAGUUCUGCAUAUUUCCCUUGUGAUGAUCAUCGUCAAAGUCGGAGCUGUCGGUUGUUCACGCGUGUGGCCUUCUGUUGGCAUGUGCCAUCAUGGUUUUCUGUGCAGCUGUUUGUAGCUCUAUGAUCCCAUGUCGGUGGCCAGGUUGGCCGGUGGUGCCCAUGUCAUGUGGGUUGAGUUGUAUCGGUUUUAGUUCGGCUUUCCGUCAAUUAACCGGACAAUUCUCUUCUUCUUAAUCAAUGAAAAUGGCAAAUCUCUUGCCUUGUUUCAAAAAAACAUGCCAACCAAAACAAUUGAAGUAAACGGAUGGCUGUCGCUGGCAUUUUAUACUCCCUAUCCUUUUGGAGUUGACCUCUGCUGAUAGUAUCUUGAAAAAUAUUCAAGUUGGACAGUUAAAAAUCAUGUGUAAGUUUGUCUCGAAAGCAUCUUCAAUGUACGAGUGAAACUACUAUCUUUACAGGGAAAGAAGUACCAGUGACAGUGAUUUCCUUCAGAAAAAGUUGCUGGGGCAAUUAUUUCGAUAUGAGUUUUUUUUAGACACCAUUUCGAUAUGAGAUGAAACAGGCAGACACGAUCGGGCUAGGCUUUGGGCGAUUGGAGCGGCCUCGCUGAGAGUGAUCGACCGGUGCCACCGGGCAAGGGUCGGACCCCAACUCGCUCCCCGCAGCCGGGCCGGCCGUGAUGCUUCCGCUGCGGCGCUUGUCGUGGGCCUGCCGCCGGCGAGGUCUCGCCCAGUUCGCCGCCGGAACCCCCCGGGAGGCGGCGGACGCGGUCGUGGUGGGCGCCGGCGCGGUCGGCCUCGCGGUGGCGCGCGCGCUUGCCAUGGCCGGGCGCGAGGUGGUGGUGGUCGAGGCGGCCUCCAGCUUCGGCACCGGCACCAGCUCCCGCAACAGCGAGGUCAUCCACGCCGGCAUCUACUACCCUCCCCGCAGCCUCAAGGUGCGCUGCCCCUUCCCGGCCAAGCCGUAUAAUCUACGAGUUCGUGCACAAGGAUUCUACUAGCUUUCUGUGAUAUUUCAGUUCAGUUCAGUCAGUUCUCACCAGUGACCACAUUGGAGUAUUGGACAGUUGACAUUAGUAUUUUAGCAUCUCAGUCUCUUAGGUGUCUGUGUCCUUAGAGUUUGAGAUUGGUAUACAAAUACUAUUGCUGAAAAUAAAACACAUAUAAUUCAUCGGGCAAAUAGUAAUCUUCUUCCCUGCUUUGUGUUAUUUUCAGUUUUGCACAUUGCAGUAGCAAUAUUCCCGUUGAUACUUUUGAGGUAUAUAUAUACUGUCUCCAAUGCUGAGUGCACUUGUAGAAUCACAGUUCAUUACUUCAUUUUCCCCUUCUGUCCAUCUAUGGCAUUCUUAAUAGUAUAAUGAUCCCUUCUUCUGUCCUAUUCUAUUUGAUGAAUUACCAAAGUGCUUUCUUGCCAUGCUGAAAUUAAUUAUAGAUUUUUCUCCUACGGAAUGUUUUUGUAGGCUAAUCUUUGUGUAAGAGGAAGGGAAAUGCUCUACAAGUACUGCACAGAACGAGCAAUCCCCCAUAAACGGCUCGGCAAACUUAUCGUUGCUACUGGUGUUGCAGAGACUGCAAAGCUGGACAUGCUCCUCAAGAGCGCUAAAGACAAUGGGGUGAAUGAUCUUCAGAUGAUGGAAGGUUCUCAGGCCGUGGAGAUGGAACCUGAACUGCGUUGUUUGAAAGCUUUACUAUCACCUAGUACUGGGAUUGUUGACUCGCAUUCAUUCAUGCUCUCCCUUUUGGUACUUGGCUAAUCUGUUCUUGAUUCUUACCAUUUUUAUCUUUGCAUUGUUUAUUUUGCCUGCUAUAAUCCUCUAAAUGAUUCAAUUAUUUGAAAGGUCCCUUUUCACACUCUCCAAGAGUGAAAAAACUGUAUAGAUAACUGAAAUAGCGCUACGUGGAGGGCCUCUGCACUAUCGAAGCAAUUUUAACUAGUUAAGAUAUGUUGAUGUUCCUUUCUUUCGUUUUCCUUCUCAAAUGAGCUCGCAGCAAUGUUUGGAAGGUUGAGGCCUGAUAAUCCAAAAAUAUUCCCCAUGCGUCUUUCCUGUACACAGCUAUAUUAUGUUCAUUUUAUGUUAGUCCACUUCAUUGUGUUGCAUCAUGCAAAACUCUAAAUCUUCUCAUACUGUCAUGUGAUUUCCUUUUCUUGUGAUGCAGGCUGAUGCUGAAAACCUAGGCGCAACCAUAUCAUAUAACACAGCAGUCAUCAGUGGGCAUGUUGGAGAUGAAGGGAUCGAGCUUCAUAUUUCUGAAAGCAAAGAGCUGGAGAAUCAGUCUAUAGGCUCUCCUGUACCCCCACAGAUUGUUUUGCUUCCAAAACUUCUGAUAAAUGCAGCAGGUUUGAGUGCAAUUCCACUUGCCAAAAGACUUGAUGGCCUUGACCAAGCAUUUGUGCCCCCGGCUUACUAUGCCCGUGGAUGUUACUUCACUCUCUCACAAACCAAGAGUCCUUUCAGCCACUUAAUAUACCCUCUACCAGAGGAUGGUGGCAUAGGGGUCCAUGUCACACUAGACUUAAAUGGCCUUGUCAAAUUUGGACCAGAUGUUGAAUGGUUAGAUGGUAAAAUGGAUGACAUGUCAUGUUUCCUGAAUAGGUAAGCCAUUGCAAAUACUUGCUUGUUCAGUUUAAUUAUAUAUGAUCUUUUUUACUUGUUAUACACAUCGCUGAAAUUGAUGGAGUUACAAACGUUCUAGUGGUGUCCAAUAUUUAAAAAUAAAGUUACCACAGUUGCUGCCUAAUAUUAACUGGUUAAUAUGAAAAUAGUUUCCUCUUCUUGAAAAAGCUAAGAUGGUGUGUGACUUUUAGCAUCUGUGUACAUCAGGUUUGAUUACUCAGUGAACCCCACCAGAUGUUCUGGAUUUUACUCUGUGAUAAGGAAGUAUUUUCCAAAUCUCAAGGAUGGUUCUUUGGAGCCUGGUUAUUCUGGGAUCCGACCAAAGCUUUCUGGCCCGGGACAGCGCCCUUCAGAUUUUGUUAUUCAGGUUAUUAUCUGAUUUAACAUAGUUCUCAUAUAUCAGCUUGAAAGUUUACUUUUCACUGUCAAGUAUCAACAAACCCGUGAAGCUGAACACUCCUGACUACUGCAGGGGGAGGAAGUCCACGGUAUUCCUGGGCUGGUUAACUUGUUUGGUAUAGAAUCCCCUGGUUUGACAUCAAGCUUGGCAAUUGCAGAACACGUCGUUUCAAGGUAUAACAGCACUUGAUUCUCAAACAAUCACCAAUCGAUGAAUUGCAGCUGGAUGAACCGGACGGCUGGAGUCUAUCAUGUGAAUCACAUUGCUCACAAUGAUUUCCUUGUUUAUUUCCUUUUAUUUUGGGGAAGAACAAGAUGCUGCUUGUAAAGGUGCGACUCUCCAGCUUAGUUGAAUAAACAAAAUAUAUCGAUUGUGGGUUGGUGUAUUAUGUGGAUCCUCGCAUACAUCUUGUGGCAAGAGGAUCCUCUGCAUUACCAACUUGUGUCUGAGCAAAAGUAUAUGCAUUACAUCACCUGUUGACCAUUUGAUGAAAAUUGGAUGGCCAGGAUUUGAAUGGAAAACACAAUGGUGUUGUCCAUUUUCUUGCAGCAAAAAUACGAGGCAACUCUGACAAUUUGCCUCUGUUUUCGAAUCGUGGAAUGCAACUUAAACAGCUGCCGGGACUGAAAUUCUAUCACAAAUAUCUUGAUAACACAGGCAUGAUUUCAACUAUAUCCAUCAAAAUUGUUCCUACAUGGUGACUCUGAUCACUUAACAUUUCGAGAAAUUAACAUAUGGUAAUAGACUAAUAGCAGUACAUGGUCUCCGGCAUAGGAUCCACAAAUAUCACCAGGCAAAGGUUAUAAAGGUAUCUGAAAGCAAUGGAUGGGGUUGUGUAAGGGCAAGGGCAAUGUCACAGGGAAGUGAAACUCUUCAAGCACCAGCUUGUCUGUUCCCAAUUGUCCAGCUUUCGCCAUUCCUAUCAUCUGAAGUUUAGCGAACGACGGUGAGUAAAUUGACAGGUCAGCAAGAAAACAAAACAUUUUUUUAAACAAGGUAAUAAAAACUAAAAGCGUCUCACCGCUUCCUUUGCGCACGCCACUUGUAAACAGGCUGUGAUGUUGAAUUUAAAAUCUCUUCUUCACGGAGCUUCCUUUUGCGUCCAGGUUUCUGCCCCAGUAUUAAACAACUUCAGUAACUUCAAACUUGACAACAAAAACAGUACCACUGUACUAUCGACGUGACCAUUAAAAUUUCAUAAGCCAGUUCUUUUGAAGAUUUUGACUUCAGGCUGCUUGAGACAUCGGUUGAUGACAAAAUCUGAACUGGUUCAACUGAGUUGUAUUUUUUACAUUAUUUUCACAAAUAACAUAACAUUUUAUGGUUCAGUCACUGAAGGUAUUAUACCGACUUCACCAAAGCAAAAUAAAUAUUCUAAUUCAUCAGAGAAAACACACCUUCAGUUCUUUUUGCAAGGCCAUUAUUUUCACAAAAUAACAUAACAUUUUAUGGUUCAGUCACUGAAGGGAUUAUACCGACUUCACCAAAGCAAAAUAAAUAUUCUAAUUCAUCAGAGAAAACACACCUUCAGUUCUUUUUGCAAGGCCAUGUCCGCAUACAAUUUCUCAAGAUUCUUAACCCUUUCUUUCCUGCUUUCUAACUCCUUGUAGGAGGAAGCUGUUUUCCUAUAAAGAAUUUGACGGGAUAUAAGUUUAUCAGGCAGCACCUGAUGCACUAAUGUGCACAAGAAUCAAUAUCAUGCUUUGAGCUAGAGAAAAAAAAUCCCAUCCCACAUCCAAGCCAUUACCACCGAGUAAUUUGCUGAAUGCAUUAACAUUCACACCCACAUCAACCAUGAAUAGCAUGAACUAAAUCACCAAAACACCCAAACUCUCAGGUCUCAAUAAUAAAGAGCAGGUAUUUUGACGAGAGUAAAGACCAAAGGAACAGGUGUAAUAUUCAUUCACUAAUAAACCGAUAAAUGAAAGCUAUCCUUUCCAAGUAUAACAUUAAUCACAGUAGCCACAUAUAUAACACAAAAUCAUAUUCCCAAAAGAACAGCACACUACCUCUUUAUACGAGAAGGGAUGUUACCAAAUUGAGGUGCGCUGCUGCUUUCACCUAUCCUAGAUCGUAUUUCUUUGGCUUCUUCUCUGAAAUGAAACAGCUAAUCAUCUCAAUAUUUAAAAAAUCUUAGGUAGCUAGCCAGCGAUUCAUAAAUGAAUCUUAAAAAAUUAAAUUCAAAACUGAAAAAUGGUAAGAAGCAAGAAUGCAACAUUUAUACCUGUCUUCCGCAAAGUAAAUGUGCUUGUUUGAACGCUUGUCAUCCACUGCGUGAAGGGUUGAGCUCAAUCGUUCAACUUUCUACAGUCAAAGGUGUGACAUUAAAAUUGGAUCAGAAAUAUAGGAUUUAGCCACAAAAAACAAAGUACUCAUUUGUUUUGAAUAUUUCAAAGUCACCACAAACCUUUCUUUCACUUUGAAUGGCCUGAAAGAUGUAUCCCAUGUCUUUAUGCUUCAAGAGCAUACGUUCCUCUUCGGUGUACUUAUUAUUUGCUUCAGGCCUAAUAAAAGGUACAUGACAAUCCAAAUCAACACGUAGAAUAUACCAAGGUUCGAACUGCCAGAGUAAACUACUCUAUAACGUACUUGGGCCUAUGGAUUCCAUCCACGGUUUUACUGUUGAUCAUCUUGAAAUAGAACUCAUCUGGGUUCUUGAACGAUGCCUUCUCCUUCAGAUUCUGUAUUUACCAGAUAACAACAAGGACCAUAGGUUAGCUAUAAGAUAGCUAUGAUAAACAUCCCAGGAAUGUACCAAAUAAACAAAAGGAAAUGCCCCCCUGAGCUCUCCUAGGUCCUAAUAAGGGUGUGCUUGGGUUGCUUUGUAUACAAAGCGGGGGGAAACCCUUUUUCGGCAUAAGGGUGUGCUUGGGUUGACCUCAAUUCGAUUUUCGGCCAGUGUUGGCAAAACAAAGGAACUAGAGACAGUUGAAGGGGGCACAUCGCAUGACAUAGGUGAAGAGAAGGAAUGACACACAAGAGUCCCAACUCGGGAAGGAACAGAAGCAAUACCCUGAUGAAAUCCUCCUUGCGCUGGUAGGCCCUGGCGCGGAGGAUAUGGUCCUUGUGCUUCUCCAGAAGCCCGUACUUCUUCCGCGACUCCCUGCAACACCAAUGCGAAUUCCAGAAUCAGUCCGCAAAUCGGCGCAGACGCGAGAGGAAGGUCCAACACGGAGACGCCCCCAGAAGAGCCGCAGGGCUCCGAUGGCGGCGGCGGCCGCGCCGUGGGAGGCGAGCCCGUGAGGCUCGAGGGGAAGCGGGAAGCGUCGCGCAAGGGGAGGAGGGACUUACGGCUGGGCGCGCUCCUUGUGAGCCCGCCGCGGAAUCGAGUUCCGCAGGGACGACAUCUUCGUCCUCGCUGCGACUCUCCCGGAAGAACGAGCGAAUCGGCGGAGGAUCGGAUUUGGGAGGGGCUACGCGGCGAGGAGAGGGGAGGCCGGAAGAGAAGGAGGCGGCCGAGCUAGCUAGGGUUCAGGGUUUGGGUUUUCCUCGGGCAGUCGGGCGUGCGCGAUGCAAGAUGAAGAAGGGUCGAAGCCUGGUCCGCGAGUCCGGUGCAAGGCGGCCCGUUCGUAUUGGGCUGUAGUGAUACGUUUUUUCUUUUUUGCGGGGAGGAUGAACAAUUGUUUUUUUUUUUGAAACUGGCUGAACAAUUGCUGGUGUGAACAAUCGCAUUUGCAAAGCAUGGCAUCAGCAUUUAAAAAAAGAGUGUGUUUAGACUAUUUUUUUUCAUCUUUUUCUAAAAAAAGAAGAAGCAAUUUUUCAUCUCGCCCGGAAGAACUGAUCAGGUGUCAAACUGUAGAGACUGCCACAUUGUGGAAAUCCAAUUCGGCUCUUGGGAGCAUAUCCUGCCCACCAAAAAUGUUUUUUGCAAAUGUAAAAAAAAUAUAUGUGUUUUUCGUCACACCAAAAUGCUACCUGCAAAUUUUUGGGAGGAAAGCUUAAGUAUUUGAUAUGUGCCAAAAAAAAGUCGGAUGACAAAUGUUACCUCCAAAUUUACACUUACUUAUGUUUUUUUCACCGACGAAGCACUAUCACCCCGUUUCACAUGAAAAUUGUCAAGCACACUUCUUACACUAACGAGAACAUUUAAAAAUAGAAUUAUUAAAUUUUAUUUACUAUUUAUUUUGAAUUUACUAUUCAUUAGAGAGCAUAUGCACCCUAAAACCAAAACGGCCCUCCUGGCACAUUGCCUCUUAUAUGAUGUCCAUGGUUGAGUGGACACGAAUAAAAUCAGAGCUUGAGUAAGGAUAGCUAGCAGCAAACAAGUUCCACAAGAUAAACUUAUGCACCCAGCGAGCGACUUCGACUGUACCGUGUUAAAAAAAACAAACUUAUGCACCCAGCGAGCGACUUCGACUGUACCGUGUUAAAAAAAACAAACUUAUGCACCCAUAUGACAAAUGGCAUUGCACGUUAGCAGUACACGUUGCAUUCACAUUUUCGGCUACAACAUUACAAAGCAUGUUUCUCACGGAUAACUCUAUCUUCCCGCUGCUGCUGCAGCUGCAGCUGUUUGUGUUUCUGCUCAAACUGGAAUUUACAGUCAACUCUCAAAACUGUAACUUCGAAAAAACUACGGCGUUCAAUUUUAAUCAUCUCUAAUACAGCUGCCUAUCUCUAGUACGCAAGACAAGAGGUUACAAGAGCUGUGGGGGUCCAGAAGAGGCUGGACGGGCAGUGCUUGCUUUAAUCUGCGGGCCGGCUUUGGGCUCAGGCUUCGGAAGAGCGCGAUCUGACCCGCGCUAGGAUUUUGACGACCCUGCAUUUUUUCCUUCAAGCGCUGACAAUCUCGCCGGUCAUCAGUUCAACACAAACCGACACGGAGCAUAUCCUCCUCAUACAGCUUUCGGCUGGACCUGUUCGAAGUCAAACACCUCGAACAUCAAGCGCCGCACAUCAGGCUUGCCGUAGACGCAGUACGAGAGCCCGUGUAUCGCUUGCUGGACAGCAGUCGUGGAAGGAUUUCUCAGCCGGCGGUUGUGUUCGAAUCUGUCCUGUACAGUCUCCCCGUAUAUAAUGUAGUGGUGAAGGUGCUUGUCCCGCAGGUACCGCCCGCAAUACUUGUUCAUCAACAACCUCCUAUGCUUCUCUGACAACCACCUGCCAGGUGCGUCGAGAUGCUUCAUGAGCAGCCUCUCUGCCAAUACUAGAUCCUGAUCAUGAGGGAGUUCAGACCUUCAGUAUGACUAUUGACCAAAUGGAGAGCGGUCAGAUGCUGAAAACGUCACAAGAUGGGCAACAAACCUGGAUCUUCUGACCAACAUAUUCCAGACGCUCAAAACAAAAUCUUGGAUGCUCAAACUUGUAUUUUGAGGGAUGCAUGAAGCACAGCUGCAGUAAAAAACCAAUACAGAUCAUGUUGAUUUAUGUGCAGACAAUAAUGAAAUAUAUCAACAGUUUGAGUUGUUGGACAACUAGGAAGCAGAUUUGAUAAGACAAGCAAGUAAUGCACCACAAAACAUGUUUGCAUGCAGAGAAAUAAGUAAACAUUAGAAAGGAAGACCAUAAGGAGAGAAAAGACUAGCGGUGUCAAAAUACCUGGAGGCCAAGUCCAAGUUCUAUAUUCCUUGCUUCUGUAAUUUCUGGAAUUUUAUCAUUCGCUGGCAAGGGGUAUCCUAGGAUGUUCAUGAUUUUGGGUCUAUUAUCAAAAUCCCAAAUGUUUCCUCUGAAACGAUGCAUGCCUGGUGGCACACAUGCUCGGAAAAGCCUAGGAUGAGCAAAAAGGGCAUCCGCUGGUGGCUGCAGUACAUGCAACAGUUAACUAGAUAGAAAGAAGUGACGGUGAAGAUUUGGGACAAACGGCAGGAACGGUCAAUACCCGGUAGGCAGCAACAUCUUGCCAUGCGAGUUGUCUCUUCUCAAACUCCACUGAAACAUAAUCAACGUCUUCUAGUUGACGCCGCAGUUUUGGCUGACAGCUCUCUUCUUCAGGGUCCAUCCCGAACGCCUCAAAGAGAACACGAUAGACUUCAGGCAUUCCAAAGCACAGAUAUAUAGCUCCAAAUAAUGCCCAGAACACAGCCCUGAAGUACAAACAUAAAGUUUAAUGAAGACUACCCCAUAUAUGUACUCCAGAUUGCCAGUUAACAGUACAAAUAGCUCUGACAAACCAAACAAUCAAGAGAAAAUUCUUCAAAUGUGUUAGUAUUAUCAUGAAUUUAUGAAGUUAGGUUAUGUGCUCCAUAUUCUUAUGCAAAGAAAAUUUCCACGGCAAGUUAGCUAGAACAUAAAAGGGAGACACAGCAGUACACAAUAAAGGAGAUUGAAGAAUGCAAUUCAGUACAAGUGUACAACAUCUAACAGGAUUAUGUAGGGGGAACUUGACUGUUAACAAGGCUGUAGAACAUCUAACAACGGAGACAACUUCACUGAGAAAGCCACAGAACAUACAUAUAACAUUGAACUAAAGAGUGGCCAAAAAAUAAGCUAACAAUACUCGCUUUCACCAUUAAUGUUAUGCCAAGACAUGCAAGUUUACUGAAUAUGUUGAAUAUGUCAAGAAGAUAACAACUAGUUAAAUGUACCCCUACCAAAUUUCUCCUAGCACCGCUCCACCAAAUCACCCAUACAUUUCCCAAAAAAAUAACUACCACAGCAGAGUAAGUAUGGAAUGCAGAUCAAGCUCAUGCGAACAACAUUGAUAUCUAGUAACCCACAAGUUGAUAUUUAGGUGUUAAACUCAUAGGCAGUUAUCUUCCUUAUCGAAUUUAUAAGGUGCUAACUAGAUGUAUACUAUGCUAAUAGCAAAUGUGCCAUGGACGAUUUCACUCUUACACUGAUGAACAGAAUGUUGACUGAUUGCUCGCAUUGUCCUAAUGCAUGAUCCCAGACCAGAAUUAUACCUCUACUACAAUUCAAAUCGCACAUUCCCAGUCAGUAAUUGAAGACUUACUUCGUGGGCGGUUCCCUGUCCUUCCGUAUCAUCUUAUCCAAAUCGUCGUAAGGAAACACCAAAUUAUGCAGGCUGGCCGCCUUGAUCCAUUUGGGCAGCAUCUUCUUCCCGAUGAGCGCGAAGACCCGCUCCCGCAUCGGGCCAGGGGACUCCCUGGGGUACCUCUGCAGGAAGAACUCGCAGAAGGCGAGCUCCAGCACGAACUGGCCCAGGAACCACAGCCUGGAGUGGCCGUUCCGCACGUGGCGCGUGCGCGUGCGCUCGGAGGAGGGGUCCAGGUGCUGGAAGGCGAGGUAGAGGAGGACGUCGAAGUGGCGCGCGGGGCAGUCGUCGCCCUCGCCGAGCGUCUCGGAGGGGGCGAGCGGGUAGCCGAGCGCCUGCUUGGCCUCGAGGAGGUACUCGUCCAUCCAGGUGCGGUCGGCGGCGGAGAGCGGCGAGGAGGGGAGGCAGGAGGAGAGCAGCGGCAGCGACUUGAGCGACAGCUGCGGGCUGUUGAGGAACCGCUGGGUGAGGCGCUCGUCGUCGAGCGGCGGCUUGAGGAUGAACCGCCGCGGCGGGUGCUUCUUCUUGGGCGAGACGGCCUUCUUCCGCUGCGCGAGCUCCCGGAGGAGCCGGCUCGGGCUGUUCGCCGGCUCCGAGGGGGAGGCCUGCGGGGGCGGAGGGGUCUGGUCGGCCGCCACGGCGAGCACGCGGGCCCGGCGCCGCGUGGCGGGGAGGUGGAGGGGCGAGAAGGUGAGCGCCUGGAACGCCAUGGCGGCCGGUGCCAUGGUGGUGGCCGCUGGGUUUUGCGGUUUGGGGGCUGGAGGAAGGGGGAGGAAGGAGGAAGAGGAUAAGCGUAGAACGAUAGGAAGGGGACCCAUCGAGAGCCGUCCGUUCUGCGUUCGAUGGCUCAGAUCUUCCGGAUCCGGGCCGAAUGGGAGGAAAUAUCUUCAGCUAUCUAUCCGCCUUCGAAAUGACAUGGCAACCCACGUGAGGCAGUGACAGUUCGCCGGCCCCGUCUCGACAGAAAAGGUAAAGUCUCCGCCGCCGAUCCCUCGCCGCCGGUAGGCGGGCAGUCGGGGCGCCACCAGCUUACCACCGGCCUGCGCGCCGCCCGUCGAUGGCGAACCCGAGGAGGGCCAUCGCGCUGCAAAUCAACACCCAGACCCCGCCAUUCCCCGCCGCCGCCGCGCCCUCGUCCUCCUCGCUGCCCUCGUCGCUCCUCCACUUCCUGAAGCGGCCGGCGUCCUUCCCCUUCCUGCUCUCCCUCUUCGUCCUCCUCACCUGGAUCUCCCUCCACUUCCACCAACCCACCCCCUCCGCCUCCCUUCAGCGCCCCACCGUCGUCCACGACCCUCAGGCCAACCUCGUCCGCUACCCCGCCGCCCUCCAUCCCACCCCCAUCGCCGCCGACGAGCGCGGAUGGCUACUCGACCCUGUCGCCGCAGCCCGCGAGGCCGGCCUCCCAAGUGAGCUCCCCUCUUGCCUCGCGAAUUCUACGUUUCCAGUUAUGCUCCCUUGUUGUUAGCUCGCUGCAAAAAUUGUUUCAAUAGAAUAGUUGGAAUGUGGCAGGGAUGAUGUAAAAUAUAUUACACUGUGUCAUCAAUUGCAGAAGUAAGGUCUGCCUAGUUCAUACUUGUAGUAGAUACUCCAGCUCUUGCUCAGUUUGAAGUUUAUAGUGAAAAGAAGAACAGAGUGAUGUUCUGAACUGUGUCACUGGUGGAAGUGCAGCACAAACAUGCUAUCCUUUUAGGAUGUACUCCCUCCGUUCCAAAUUACUCGUCGCAGAAAUGGAUGUAUCUAGAACUAAAAUACAUCUAGAUACAUCCAUACCUGCGACGAGUAAUUCGGAAUGGAGGGAGUAACACCUUUCAGAGUGGCACUUGGUUUGCACCUUUCAAAUUAAUCUUGCUACCUUAGUGCCAGUCUUACUUGGAGAUUGUUAAGCUGGGUGUGCUAUAUCAACCAGUAUAGGCACCUUGGCUGAGCUGGGCAUAUGCCGCUUUCGUCUGUUGUUAGCUCGCUGCAAUAAGUUGUUUUAAUAAAAGAGUUGGAAUGUGGCAGGGAUGAUGUAGAAUAAAUAACACUGUCAUCAAUUGCAGAAACCAGGCCUGCCUAGUUCAUAUUUGUAGUAGAUACUCCAACUCUUGCUCAGUUUGAAGUUUAUAGUGAGAAAAGAACAAAGUGAUGUUCUGAACAUGACACUGGUGGAAGUGCGGCACGAACAUGCUGUCACGCGUGGCUAACACUUUUUGGAGCGGCACUUGGUUUCCACCUUUCAAAAUAAUCUUGUUACCUCAGUGGCAAUCUUAUUUGGAGAAUGUUAAGUGGGUUUGCUUUGUCAAUUAGGCACCUAGGUUAAACUGGGCAUGUACCACGUCCGUUGGCAGCAUUGUUUGUGUGAGUUUGAUACAAGGUGCCUCUGUGUUCACCCCUUGGCAUAUGGCCCAACAAACUGUGAUCACUGAGAUGUUUUGGUGGUUGGAUCGUUCCACUUGCUUUCCAUCUACAUAUAUUAGACAGAUACUCCCUCUGUUCCAAAAUAGAUGACUCAACUUUAUACUAACUUUAGUACAAAAUUAGUACAAAGUUGGGUCAUCUAUUUUGGAACGGAGGGAGUAGAUGGGUAGCUUUCUUUCACAAGCAACCAAUGAUCAAGACUUGUGUUCAGAAUUGUCAGUUCCAUCUAUCUAUUUAUUUAUUUUCCUCAAAUGUCCCUAUUUAUCAUACUGAUAUGUAUCCCUACGGCCGAAAGUAGAAAAGGUAGCAAAAGAGAACAUUUGCAAUAUGGGGGUAGCAACUGAUUGAUUUUUAGCUAACCAAGUUGGAGAAUAUUCUGCUACACAAAUAUCUCCCUUCUUUUGUACUUCAUUUUACCUUUGUCGGUUCUAUCAAUAGAUGCCCAUCUUACUGGGAAAAAAGAGGACUUUCCAUGCAUCACUGCUGUUUUCCCACUACUUACUACUCCCUCCGUUCCUAAAUAUAAGUCUUUGGAGAGAUUCCACUAUGAACCACAUACGGAUGUAUGUAGAUGCACUUUAGAGUGUGGAUUCACUCAUUUUGCUCCGUAUGUAGUCCAUAGUGAAAUCUCUACAAAGACUUGUAUUUAGGAAUGGAGGGAGUAGUUACUACUGUGUUGAACUUGAGACUCUUUGUCGAGUGUAUGGCUGGUAGCCAGAAUGAAUUUGCUCUAUGGUCUAGUUUGCCAGUAUGUUGAACUUGAGGCUGUUCAUCUCUGUGUUUUGUUGUAACUUUGCUUUGUUCAACUUGAUUCUAAAUUUGUGUCAUCAUGCUCAAAAUAAAGUACUAUUAUUCAUAUGUUGUGUCCAUCAGUGUCUCUACUCUCUAUUGAUUGUGUUCUAAAGAUUUGUGUAGAUAUUGAAAGUCUCUACUGAUCUUCUGCAUACGAGGAGAAAAUUAGGCAUGGAUUACUAGCCUACAACUUAUGGGACCGUGUCACUUUGUAGCUGCAGAACUCCAAGUUUUUUUUCUCUUGGGGUUCACUCUGGAACAAUAUUUACAUGACAAGAAGUCAUAAAUACAGAAACAUCGAUUCCACGCUCUUUUGUAUGGAUUUGUGGAAUGCUAUAUUUACUUGGAUGUGAUUGCCUGGAAUUUUGCUCUACAGCUUAGGCAGGACUGAUGUGAAUAGAGCACAGGCUGUUUUUCAGUAUCUGACUGGACAUUAAUUAUAGUGUUCAAUUUGUGGCAGAUGGGGCGUUGGUCUGUCUUUCACUACACGUGGGACUGAUCCAGCCAGGUGGUUUGCGUGGCAACCAUCGUCACCAUACAUGCAAUGAAACAUUCGUCAUCUGGGGCGCAAAAACAAAAUUCAGGGUAAUGAUAUUCUCUUCUUCAUUCACUCACUCAGCCCCUGAUAAUCACAUCCUCUAGUGUUGAUUGGUUGUUUUUCCGUGAUAAACAGUUAGAAAAUCCUGAUGUAAAAGAUAAAGGAUACGGAGAAGCCAUAAUUGCUGCUGACGAGGUAGCCAUUGUCGCAAGCGCAAGAUCAACCGCACACGCAUUGAUCAAUAUGGAUGUGCGACCGACCUUCUUCUUGGGAUGUCAAGAUACACCAAUAAAUCCCAACAGUUCAAAUACUGACUACAAGGUCUGGAAAGAUCUCUGACAUCCACAUUGCUCCUAUGGUCUGACGGUGAGCAAUAUUUCAAAGACUAAUACAAUAUGAUCCGGAGAAACUGAAAGUAGCAUCGAGCCUUCAGAAUUCACCUCGGUGAAGAUUUUAAGGUAGAUGCUUGUGUAUAGUUGAGGUGACACUUCCAGUUGGCUCUCCUAGUUCUUUCGUCUGUUUUUUUUUUCUUUUUUGUUGACAAGGGGUUAUUCUUGUUACUAUUUGUUUGUUUUCUUUCUCUUGCAUAUAGUCACUGGUCAUGUACUCCUUUGUUAAAGGAAACAGACCUACCUUAUUUGGCUUAAUAUUCUCAGAAAAAUUUCUUUGUCUGUAUGUGCAGCAUAUGUCUGCCGAGCUGUUAACUGACAGAUCAUAGAUGCCUCUUUAUAUUGACAAAUUGUUGAGCUAUGCGCUGCCGGGUACUAAUUUGCAGAUGCCGUUUCAUGCCUCCUUGUAUUGCCGAAUUGCAAAAUCAGAAAUGACCUCUUUGUGCAGACGAAUUGCAAGUGAAACAGGGCCACGUAUCCAGGACACGUUGAUGUGCUCUCGAGCUUGUUCUGUGACCUGUGCCUGGCUUUGGCUUACACCUCUCUGCUUUUCUCCAUUCGAUUGUUAGCCAUCAACAUCAUCAAUCGAGUCGGAUUCGUUUUCCCCCACACGGUUCUUACGUGCCACAGAUUUGCAAACGGCAUGUGGCGAUAUUCAUCGACAAUACUUGCAGCGAGAUGAGACGAGAUAUUUUAGGUAGGAUAUGCAGUUUUAUUUUCAGGUUAUAGGAUAUACAACUUCAUCCAAAAAGAUACCAACAUCGCCGAGCUCGACAAGUGUCGCCGGGAGAAUGCAUGCAUCAAAUCCCUCAUCCAAAAAUAAAAUAACAUAUGGUCCUCAGGUAGCUCCAGUACUAUUUUUCACUUAGAGUUUAGAGAAAUUUUGUAACAGGAUGAUCAUUGGAAUUUAUACGUGUGGUGCUCCUCGAUCCUUUUCUUUUUGAAGUUGGUUUUAUGUGCCCGACGCGAACUGCUAGAAAAUCAAUUGUGUGAAGAAUGCAACACAAAUUCUAUGCCUGCAGAGAAAUACAAAUACGAUGGUGGUCCAGUACGCUUGUAGUCUAGUGGAUGAACAGACAAGCAAGCCAAUGAAAUGGAGAGAAAAAGAUCAAAUACAGAGGAAGAUAUCUCGCACACCGGAAUCCUCACAUGUGAUAGGCCCGCUUCACAUUCACACCAUCCACACGAGCCCAUAAAGAAAAUAUUCUCAGAAAAUAAUAAAACGCUAAAAUUUAAAAUAACAAAAGAAAAAAAAACAC
rnacentral:lncRNA from 1 species